rnacentral:rRNA from 1 species
CAGGAUGAACGCUAGCUACAGGCUUAACACAUGCAAGUCGAGGGCAGCAUUAUCGAAGCUUGCUUUGAUAGAUGGCGACCGGCGCACGGGUGAGUAACGCGUAUCCAACCUUCCCCAUAGUCAGGAAUAGCCCGGCGAAAGUCGAAUUAAUGCCUGAUGUUUUCCACGGACGGCAUCCGAUGUGGAACAAAGAUUCAUCGCUAUGGGAUGGGGAUGCGUCUGAUUAGCUUGUUGGCGGGGUAACGGCCCACCAAGGCAACGAUCAGUAGGGGUUCUGAGAGGAAGGUCCCCCACAUUGGAACUGAGACACGGUCCAAACUCCUACGGGAGGCAGCAGUGAGGAAUAUUGGUCAAUGGGCGGAAGCCUGAACCAGCCAAGUAGCGUGAGGGAUGACUGCCCUAUGGGUUGUAAACCUCUUUUAUAAGGGAAUAAAAUACGGGACGUGUCCUGUUUUGCAUGUACCUUAUGAAUAAGGACCGGCUAAUUCCGUG